rnacentral:rRNA from 1 species
ACUCCUGCGGGAGGCAGCAGUGGGGAAUAUUGGACAAUGGGCGCAAGCCUGAUCCAGCCAUGCCGCGUGAGUGAUGAAGGCCCUAGGGUUGUAAAGCUCUUUCACCGGUGAAGAUAAUGACGGUAACCGGAGAAGAAGCCCCGGCUAACUUCGUGCCAGCAGCCGCGGUAAUACGAAGGGGGCUAGCGUUGUUCGGAUUUACUGGGCGUAAAGCGCACGUAGGCGGACUAUUAAGUCAGGGGUGAAAUCCCGGGGCUCAACCCCGGAACUGCCUUUGAUACUGGUAGUCUUGAGUUCGAGAGAGGUGAGUGGAAUUCCGAGUGUAGAGGUGAAAUUCGUAGAUAUUCGGAGGAACACCAGUGGCGAAGGCGGCUCACUGGCUCGAUACUGACGCUGAGGUGCGAAAGCGUGGGGAGCAAACAGGAUUAGAAACCCCUGUAGUCCCAUGA